rnacentral:rRNA from 1 species
UUGACCUCGGAUCAGGUAGGGAUACCCGCUGAACUUAAGCAUAUCAAUAAGCGGAGGAAAAGAAACCAACAGGGAUUGCCUUAGUAACGGCGAGUGAAGCGGCAAUAGCUCAAAUUUGAAAGCUGGCGUCUUCGACGUCCGCGUUGUAAUUUGUAGAGGAUGCUUCGGCGAAGACACCUGCCUAAGUCCCCUGGAACGGGGCGUCACAGAGGGUGAGAAUCCCGUAUGUGGCGGGCCGUCUAAGCCAUGUGAAGCUCCUUCGACGAGUCGAGUUGUUUGGGAAUGCAGCUCUAAAUGGGAGGUAAAUUUCUUCUAAAGCUAAAUAUUGGCCAGAGACCGAUAGCGCACAAGUAGAGUGAUCGAAAGAUGAAAAGCACUUUGGAAAGAGAGUUAAAAAGUACGUGAAAUUGUUGAAAGGGAAGCGCUUGCAACCAGACUCGCUCGCAGUUGCUCAGCCGGCCUCUUGGCCGGUGUACUCUUCUGCGAUCGGGCCAGCAUCAGUUCGGGCGGCCGGAUAAAGGUGUCGGGAAUGUAGCACCCUUCGGGGUGUGUUAUAGCCCGGCGCGGAAUGCGGCCAGCCUGGACUGAGGAUCUCGCUUCGGCAAGGAUGCUGGCGUAAUGGUUGUAAGCGGCCCGUCU